ACCCGGGCAGGGCCGCCGCUCCGCCGCCGCCGCAGAUCCGGCUCUCACCCUCGGCUCCCGAGGCCCCGCGGCGCCUCCUUCUGCGGACUCUGCGGGACCCUCCCCGGCAGGCGCUGUGCCCUGGAGAAGACACAUGGAAGUUGAGGGCUUUUUCAGAUGACCUCAUUUUGCUGGUUCCAGCCUGCAGCAGGAGAGGAUGUACAAGAUGCACCGGGGCCACGAUUCCAUGCACGUGGAAAUGAUCUUGAUCUUCCUCUGCGUUCUGGUCAUUGCCCAGAUAGUGCUGGUUCAGUGGAGACAGAGGCAUGGCCGAUCCUACAACCAAGAUGGCCCUCACCAGAUGCCAGCCAUUCAAUCUUGGACUUCUGAGCCUCCAGAACUAUUGGUCUACAAAUGGUUUCUUUUGAUCUACAAACUCAGCUAUGCAUUUGGUGUUGUGGGUUACUUGGCGAUCAUGUUUACAAUGUGUGGAUUCAAUCUGUUUUUCAAAAUCAAAGCUAGAGAUUCCAUGGAUUUUGGCAUUG
rnacentral:sRNA from 1 species